UAAUCGGUAAUAAUCGACCAUUUUGAUAUUAUCGCACAUCUCUAACCUCGUUUAUUAAUCUACCUUUUUUAUUUUAUCUGAUUACUGAAAUUAUCCUGCAAGAGUAUUACAACACAUUCUUUAAAAUAUUGAGUGGAAUGGAUAAAAUCAAGCAACAAGGUUUAAAUGAGCGUCUUAUGAUAUGGCACCUCGAUUUCCAAGAGUGACUUGUGACUGUGGGAUGGACAAAAGAUAUUAUCUUAAUGGUUACAGAAAAGUGUGUUAAAAGGCUAAUAUGACGCGUUUCAAGUACGUUUGCUGAAUUUGAAUGGUCAAACAAAACAAAUUGAUGCUAAAGCUGAGUGACUUUUGAUGGCGAUAUCAAGCUAGAGUUUAUUGAAACGCACAUAUCAGUGUGAAACCUUUUACAGAUUGGGCCUGAUACAAUAGAAACUGAGAAACCUGCUAAAUGGUCAAUAGUCUACCUUGAUGGCAAUAUGUAUUAUCUUGGAUGUCUUAUACAGCUUUAUCACCAGCAAUAAUGAUUAUAAAUUGAUCAGCAUACUAAUUCCAUUCAUGCAUUAUCUUCAAACAAUAUUCUAUUCCUGUCUAUUCAAUUGAUAAUCUGGUCUGUUACUAUCAUGUGUCCAUCAAUGAACCAUUCAAGGUCUUUUAUCAUCAACAUCAUGAUCCUCCUUCUCCUCACCAUCAUUUCCAGCCUGUUUUCAAGAGAGUCAUUCCUAUUAUUAUUACAAUCUAGCUGAUUAUGUAUGAGCCUGUAACCAUAAUCUUCUAAUGAUGAAAAGACCGUUUAAUUACUGCUAAACUUCUUUUACUUCAUCAUCAACUUAUCUUGUUUCUCUUUCUUUCUCCAAACAUCUUACCUUCCCAAGAAGAAAGAACAGAAAGAGAAAAAGAUGAUGAGGAUGAAAAGGAGGAAACAAGAAAAAACAUUGUGAGUUUUGGGUAUUAUUUAAUUUUAAGCCAUCAAAGACCAAGCAGCAAAAAUAUGAGCGUAUGUUGAAUAUAAUUGAGCGGUUUUAACUUUCACAGAGUAACUCAAUAUCUUGGAUACACCUUGACACUUUAGCGCAAUCAUGUCAUUCCAAUGAAAUGUCAACUGGAAAAAUUAAAGAAGGGAAAUAAUACAAAAUAGUUGCGUUCAACAAGAAUCAAGGAGUACAACGAAGCAAUAGGAAGAUGGAAUAAUAACUUUACAAACAAACCUCUCAGUAGGCGCAUUUGUUUUUCACGGAUAAUUUGCAUUCAGGCCUUUGGUCCACCUUUGGAUUGCAACCCAAUCUUUUUUGGUCUUCAAAAGUUAUUUAAACAAGUUUAACGCCGUUAAUAAUCAAACUGAUCAACUGUACAAAUAUUAUAAUCACACCAAAGUCAAUUAAUUACACCAAAGGCAAAUGGAAGAGGCAGCAACGGUGCAAUGGCGUUUCUUUCAAGCCCAUUCUGGAAAUAUUGAUGAACAAGUAAACCAAUUGAAAGAGACUUACCAUUAAUAUUUGCUGUCUUCAUACUAACUGAAUCUGUGUAGUCAAUAAUUCAAUCGAUUUGAUGAUUCAAUACUUUCUCAAGCCAUUUAUAUUCAAAGUUCAGCCUUUUAGAAGAUGAAAACAAAAAUCGAUUGUCUGCAGAAACAGAAAUCAUCGUUAAUCAUUUAAAUAUGCAUGUAUGGUCAUGUUUGGUUAAAAUGCACUCGGAUGCGGUUACAAAAUUAAGAUCAAUCAUGUUGAUUAACGCUGACAAUUUAAAAUUUAUCCUACAAAAGUCAUUAAUCUAAUAAUUAUACGAAACAACCUGAAGACAAAAUGAAGGACAAUUUGCAUUAAACAUUAUAAUGGGAAAUCAUUUGAUUAAUUAUCUCAUGAUUACUCUUGUCGCAUCUUUCAAUUUGAAUAA